CCUACGGGAGGCAGCAGUGAGGAAUAUUGGUCAAUGGACGAGAGUCUGAACCAGCCAAGUAGCGUGAAGGAUGACUGCCCUAUGGGUUGUAAACUUCUUUUGUAUGGGAAUAAAAUGUUCCACGUGUGGGAUUUUGUAUGUACCAUAUGAAUAAGGAUCGGCUAACUCCGUGCCAGCAGCCGCGGUAAUACGGAGGAUCCGAGCGUUAUCCGGAUUUAUUGGGUUUAAAGGGAGCGUAGGUGGAUUGGUAAGUCAGUGGGGAAAGUUUGCGGCUCAACCGUAAAAUUGCAGUUGAAACUGGCAGUCUUGAGUACAGGAGAGGUGGGCGGAAUUCGUGGUGUAGCGGUGAAAUGCUUAGAUAUCACGAAGAACUCCGAUUGCGAAGGCAGCUCACUGGACUGCAACUGACACUGAGGCUCGAAAGUGUGGGUAUCAAACAGGAUUAGAUACCCGAGUAGUC
rnacentral:rRNA from 1 species